UUAGAAACGGCUACCACAUCUAAGGAAGGCAGCAGGCGCGCAAAUUACCCAAUCCUAAUACAGGGAGGUAGUGACAAGAAAUAACAAUACAGGACUUUUUGGUUUUGUAAUUGGAAUGAGUUAAGUAUAAACCCCUUUACAAGUAUCAGUUGGAGGGCAAGUCUGGUGCCAGCAGCNGAGGAAUUCCAGCUCCAAUAGCGAC
rnacentral:rRNA from 1 species